AUCAGCAUUAUCAUGUGCUUGAAGAUGGAUGACUUCUUCCCACUUAGGGCUGCCACGUGCUGCCUAUUCCCUGCACGCAGCUCCGCUCAGUGCCUGAGCGAUGGGAUGCAGGGACAAGUGCCCUCUGCCAUUCUCAUGGCUCCUGCCCUGAUGUUGGAUGGAGGCUGUGUCUUGGAUGCUGUGCCUGGGUUCAUUAUCUCUCCUGGAUGCUGGUACAACAGCUGGCAGGAAAACACAGCCCUCUCCAAGGUCCCCAGCAGAGCAGGGUGGACAGCAGCACGGUGUUCGACAGAGACCUGAGUAAGAGAUCCGGCAAGCAGUUCACACGUGUUACAGCUCCUCCAAGUUUUAUGAAUCCAAUUACAUCCUCAUCCUGGGAGGGCCAUCUCUGUUUUGUGGACCAGAAAUAGAGGCCAGAAUGCUGCCUGUUGUCUGGCGUGGUGCUAACAGCUGACCUGGGACCUGGGGCUCCUGCAUAAAGCACCGUGCUCCUCUCCUUGCCUUCCUGAGCUAAUACUGAAUGGGAGAGCCUGUCUUUCCCCUGCUGCUCCCUGAAUAGCAGUCUUGGGCUUGGCCUGCUUGUGCUAGGGCUCUCCAACCUGCUGAGAGCUGCUGAGCCCUGGCCUGGGGGGAGGGCAGCAGCGGUGUGCUGGGCUUGCUCGGUGUCUCCCUGGGAAUUCAAGGCUGUUCUCAGGCUAUCUCUUGCCUCCAGCUCACGCAGAGCGUUUUCUGCCAGUCCUGCACCUGCAGCACUGAAGACAGCUAUAGUCAUGCUGCAGUGGGCAUGGACAAUUGAUUAUAACUGGUCGUAGAUUACCUGGAGCAAUGCUAUUAAAUUUAAUACAGUUCUCCGCUGGCUCUUUGGGCACAGCCUUGGGUUGUGUAACUGACAUCUUGUUGCAAAGCAUUUUGGGGACAUUGCUAGGGGCGGGAGGCAAAGAGAUUCAGCUGCAAAGCAGGAGAAGGAGAUGAGUUUCUGUUGAGAUUUAUUUCCUACCCAAUAAUUGCCCAGAAAGGCUGUGUAAACCUUCUCUGUUUGUGGAACAAAUACUGCAAGAGUUACUGCUCUGACCUUUUUUUCUUUUCCGCUGGACAAUUGUCUGUGCCCUUGCUAUUCAGGAGCCUUGAUGUGCCGCUGGCAGAUUUAUGCCUCGUUGAAACCCACCUCUUAUUGCCUCUGAGUUGAUUGGGAGGAAGGAAUCUUGUUCGCUGGAAAAGAAACCCACUGCAAUGUGCCAUGCAUGCCAAGUCAGGGUGGGAGCUUAAAAGAAGAAUUUGGAGCCCUGACCUCUUUUCCUCGUCCGCUGCUCAUCUUCUGUCACUGUGUCAGCUGGGACAGGUGGGUGACCAGCUCUGAGCAGGAUUGCUGCUGGGUUUGGGCAGGUACCUGGUCAGCAACCCAUGCUGCGAUAGGAUGGGGAAGGGCUGGGUGCAUCUCCAGGGAAGGGCUCUUCAGUGUGAGAAUCCUGCCCUGGCUUCACAAAAGCUUGCGGUGAAUCCCCAUGUGAACGCUCUUCCCGUUGAUUUGGCAGCUGCUAAAUUUGGGAAUAAAUCCACCUUCCUUGGCA
ensembl:lncRNA